GAUGAACGCUGGCGGCGUGCCUAAUACAUGCAAGUCGAGCGAACGGACGAGAAGCUUGCUUCUCUGAUGUUAGCGGCGGACGGGUGAGUAAUACGUGGAUAACCUACCUAUAAGACUGGGAUAACUUCGGGAAACCGGAGCUAAUACCGGAUAAUAUUUUGAAUCGCAUGGUUCAAAAGUGAAAGACGGUCUUGCUGUCACUUAUAGAUGGAUCCGCGCUGCAUUAGCUAGUUGGUAAGGUAACGGCUUACCAAGGCAACGAUGCAUAGCCGACCUGAGAGGGUGAUCGGCCACACUGGAACUGAGACACGGUCCAGACUCCUACGGGAGGCAGCAGUAGGGAAUCUUCCGCAAUGGGCGAAAGCCUGACGGAGCAACGCCGCGUGAGUGAUGAAGGUCUUCGGAUCGUAAAACUCUGUUAUUAGGGAAGAACAUAUGUGUAAGUAACUGUGCACGUCUUGACGGUACCUAAUCAGAAAGCCACGGCUAACUACGUG
rnacentral:rRNA from 1 species